GUCAUUUGGAAGCAUCGUUUAUUGAGCGUCUGGAUGUCUUUACUGUACACACACACUGUUGAUGUGAUGGACAGUGAAUCUGAAUUCUGCCCAACAACAUAUUCGCGCCACAGUCGAUAAAGGAAGGGGAAAAAAAGUUGCCAGUCUACGAAGGGUUAGGAUGGAGACUGCUUCUUUGCUGCUGUCAAAUACCAUGUGGAAGAUCAGAAAACGUCGGCAGGAGGUGGGAGAGAAGGCAAUGCAGAGAUGAAGGACAUCAUACCACAAUAAUAGUUGUGUGUAUAAGCCUGAUCAACAAGUGAAAAGAGUCAGAUAAGAGGAAAGAGUUUGAAAACUGAUUUGACGACCACUGCUGAAUUGGCCUGCUAAGAGGAAGAGGCACUAAUGAUUCCAAAAGAGGAAGCCAAAGAAGACCUACACAGACUUUGAAAUGGAUCUCUCAAUUGCCAUGAUGACCAAGAUAUUCAACGGGAAAAUGUGGAAAGCUGCCAUAUUCCCAGUCAUUACUUUGCCAAAUCUUCUGUGCAGCACCACGGAGGACCCUACUUUCCUGAGUACGAAGCCGGCCAUCAAGGAGUUCCCCGACUGGCAACAGACUGGAGCAAAGGCUGUAGCAGGGACAGCAUUUUCUUUUGCUACUGAAAUAAUUUACAUUAUGAUAGAAAGUGGACAAUAUAGUGUGACAAUUAGUUUUUUUUCUCCAACAUGUACACACUGCUGUUGUGAAGCAGUGAUAUACAGCUCACGAGUGUGUAGUCAAAAGAGAGAAAUACUGUAUAUUUCAGCGACUCCUACAGAUUAAGAAAAAUAAUGAAUUUUGUUAAUAAAUAAAUGUUAUUCUUGGCUCAAUUGUUAAGUGUUUGGGUUCAAAUAACAUUACCAUGAUCCCAUAGGCAUCCAAAAAUUGAGAAAGUGACGUUUUUUAAAACUGAAACAAGGUGUUUGACAUCCUGUUGUGUGUGCAAGCCCUUUUUAUUGCCACGGGUUUACAGACAGUCUCUAAUAAUUGGGUAUCACCUGGAACACAGCCAAUAAUCGAGAGACACACCCACCAAACGAGAGAAAACAUAACUCAAGCCGUUGCACCCCGUUCCCAGGAAACGUGCGUGCCCCAGCUCUUUGCCUGAGGGGAAGCCCACAGUCUCAGACUUA